UACGUAGGGGGCAAGCGUUGUCCGGAUUUAUUGGGCGUAAAGAGCGUGUAGGCGGCCUGACAGGUCUGCUGUGAAAACUCGAGGCUCAACCUCGAGAUGUCGGCGGAAACCGUCUGGCUAGAGUCCGGAAGAGGAGAGUGGAAUUCCUGGUGUAGCGGUGAAAUGCGCAGAUAUCAGGAAGAACACCGAUGGCGAAGGCAGCCCCCUGGGUCAAGAUUGACGCUCAUGCACGAAAGCGUGGGGAGCAAACAGG
rnacentral:rRNA from 1 species